rnacentral:sRNA from 1 species
CAACCCCUCAAGAACUCAUUAUUGUCUAAAAAUGGACUUGGAUUUAUUUGAUCAAGAAUUGUUCAAUUCUUCAUGUGAAAUUUCAAGAAGAAUUUCAAUCUUUGUUCCUCACACAGAACCUGAGAGAACAACAACAAGAAGAAUGAGUGAGUUCCUGGAUAAAAUAGGUGAUUUUCCAUUGCAGGGUCUGUUAACCUUCAAGGACGUGGCUGUGUACUUUUCACUGGAGGAAUGGGAAUGUCUCAAAUGUGAGCAGAGAGCAUUGUAUAUAGAUGUGAUGUUGG